rnacentral:rRNA from 1 species
GAUGAAUGCUGGCGGCGUGCCUAACACAUGCAAGUCGAGCGGCAGCGCAGGUAGUUUACUACCUGGCGGCGAGCGGCGGACGGCUGAGUAACGCGUGGGAACAUGCCCCAAAGUGAGGGAUAAACUCCAGAAAUGGAGUCUAAUACCGCAUAUGAUCUUCGGAUUAAAGGAUUUAUCCGCUCUGGGAGUGGCCUGCGUACGAUUAGAUUGUUGGUGAGGUAAUGGCUCACCAAGUCGACGAUCGUUAACUGGUCUGAGAGGAUGAUCAGUCAGGCUGGAGCUGGGACACGGUCCAGACGCCUACGGGAGGGAGCAGUGGGGAAUGUUCCGCAAUGGACGAAAGUCUGACGGAGCAACGCCGCGUGAGUGAUGAAGGCUUUCGGGUCGUAAAACUCUGUUGUUAGGGAAGAACAAGUGCUAGUUGAAUAAGCUGGCACCUUGACGGUACCUAACCAGAAAGCCACGGCUAACUACGUGCCAGCAGCCGCCGUAA